ACUAUAAAUAAAAAUUUAAAUAACGCUAAUGCAUACUGUAUUUAAUUCAUUUUUGAACAUUUAAACAUAUGUGACAUCAUUUAAAUGCAUAUUAUGAAGAAAUUGAUCAACAUUUUGCAAGUUAUUACAUUUCUAAGUGUUCUGCCAUCAUCAUUCACGAGUUAGUUACAUUUGCAUUCAAUAAAAAUCCAGAGUUUCUUUUGUAAUUUCUAUUCUCAGCUUCAUAAAUGACACAUAAUAGUGACUAUCCACUUCAGACACAUUAUGCAUUGCUUUGCAUUAUAUUCUUUAUAUAUUCAUUAUAUUGUUCAUAUGAACACAAUGAAGUCUCUGAUUUACUCACACAGAUCUUCAUCCGUCUCAGUGGAGAAAUUCAGCCUCAGUCUCAGGAUUUUAUAAUGCAUAAAGCACCACAAACAAACGCGUUUGAGUGUGAGUUUCUCAGGACGAGUUGAGGAAUGGAGAGAAUGAGUGGGAGGAAGUUAACCAGCGAACGCUGCUCAUAUCCGUUGAGGUUUCACACAUUUAACCAGCACUCACUCAUUGGACCUGCUUAAUCAUAACCACAUCCAAAAACAUCUGCAUGCCCACUCCUACACUUACCUCAGAAGAAACGCUCACCUCAUGACCUGAGCCAGAGUUCACGCUGUUCAAGCUCAGCUAGAAUGAUGUUCCCUAACAUUAGUCAUUUAUUUAGUGCUUGUUAUCAAGGACCUCAGCAACAACAGUGACUGUUCAUUUAUGAAUGAAGAGAGCAAUGGGAACAGUACUAAAAUUAAUCCAAAGAAGGAAGAAAUCAGAGAUUUGUAAUAAUAUGAGGU